GUGAAUCAUCGAAUUUUUGAACGCAUAUUGCACUCUCUGGUAUUCCGGAGAGCAUGCCUGUUUGAGGGUCAGUUAAAUCAUAAUCGGGUCUUUUGCCACCUUUGGUGGUGCCUCUUCGGAAUUGCGCCGUCUUUACCUUCCGGUUAAGUGACUUAAAAUUUUUGAAUGAUAUCUGAUCGUAUUUCACUUUAUUUGGUACGCCUUGUAAUAUCGUAUGUUUAUUAGACGUGCUCAUCCUCAUGACUCGCGUCUAUAAUUUUUCAUCUAAUUACCUCAACUCAGGUAAGCGUACCCUCUGAA
rnacentral:misc_RNA from 1 species